rnacentral:rRNA from 1 species
UACGGAGGGGGCUAGCGUUGUUCGGAAUUACUGGGCGUAAAGCGCACGUAGGCGGCUUUGUAAGUUAGAGGUGAAAGCCCGGGGCUCAACUCCGGAAUUGCCUUUAAGACUGCAUCGCUAGAAUUGUGGAGAGGUAAGUGGAAUUCCGAGUGUAGAGGUGAAAUUCAUAGAUAUUCGGAAGAACACCAGUGGCGAAGGCGACUUACUGGACACAUAUUAACGCUGAGGUGCGAAAGCGUGGGGAGCAAACAGG